AUUGAACGCUGGCGGCAGGCCUAACACAUGCAAGUCGAGCGGUAGCACAGAGGAGCUUGCUCCUUGGGUGACGAGCGGCGGACGGGUGAGUAAUGUCUGGGAAACUGCCUGAUGGAGGGGGAUAACUACUGGAAACGGUAGCUAAUACCGCAUAACGUCUUCGGACCAAAGCGGGGGACUUUCGGGCCUCGCGCCAUCAGAUGUGCCCAGAUGGGAUUAGCUGGUAGGUGAGGUAAUGGCUCACCUAGGCGACGAUCCCUAGCUGGUCUGAGAGGAGGACCAGCCACACUGGAGCUGAGACACGGUCCAGACUCCUACGGGAGGCAGCAGUGGGGAAUAUUGCACAAUGGGCGCAAGCCUGAUGCAGCCAUGCCCCGUGUGUGAAGAAGGCCUUCGGGUUGUAAAGCACUUUCAGCGGGGAGGAAGGCGGUGAGAUUAAUACUCUCAUCGAUUGACGUUACCCGCAGAAGAAGCACCGGCUAACUCCGUGCCAGCAGCCGCCGCCGUAA
rnacentral:rRNA from 1 species